UCACGCUCAUUCUCUAAUUUUUUACAUAUCGAAUCCCUCAAACCCUAAUCAUUCUACUCAUCCACCAUCCACCCCAUUACCCUUUUCUCUCAUCGCUCUCUCGUCCUCUCUUCUCUGAAACCUCUCUGAACUUAGAACUAAUCACUGCAAGUCACUGAGAGACCACUGUGAGACCACCAUCAUCCAUAUUAGCCAAGAAUCUAGCCAACGCCAUUCCCAUUUUCAUCAUAUACUUCAAAAUCUCAAAACACCAAAACCCUAGCCCGAAACAUAAAAUCCAUAGAAUCACAUCAUCACACCUUCAUCGGUUCAAAUCCGCCAUUAAAACCCUGCAUGCACCUCCAGAUUCGGAUGAAUCUUGACAUAAUCAUGACGUUUGAUGACCAGAGGUCAAAUGCAAGGACCUCUACGUAAAAGCUUUGUCUUGAGGUCUGACGGCUUCAAUGGCUAGUCCAUUCAUCACUUCGGAGAGGGUACUAAUCCUUAACGGCUAAAGCUAAGCCUGGUUUGCUAGCCUUAGGAAGGUCAGUAUGCUUUCAAUUUUGUUUCAAUGAUUGAAUUUGUGUAUGGCUUAUCAUGUAUAAUUGUUCUUUUUGAUUAGCCUAAUGUGUGUUGAGUUUUAUGUUAGCAGUUGUGUUUUCUUACUUUGUUAGCAUUAAUAUGAUAUAAAGCAUGUUUGUGAGAUUGGUUUACAUAGCAUGAUUAUAUUUCAUGGAUUUAAUAUUGAUCUUGCUCUGUUUGAUUAGACCUAAGCUGAUUUCAUUCGCUUACUUUUUUAAUGUUAGAUAUAGAUGAUAUUCCACAUUGUUACAAUGUUAGAUAUAGAUGAUAUUCCACAUUGUUACAAGGCUGUCUUAUUUUUCAUAGAUACCAUGCCUAUAAGAUCUUUACCUGUUUAAGCUCCAAGAUAAUAUGAUGAAGAUUCACCUUGUCCUGCUCUCUUAGUUUUCCCUUGUUCUCUAUGUAGCAUGACUUUUGUUACUUUAACUGUACACUCAAAAAUACUUAUCAUAAACUAUUGGAUAUCCUAUGAAGUUUGAGUAAUCUUCUGGUUUAUGUAUUUGUAAAUUUGUAGGUGAUUGCCAUAAAUUGGUUUAGGCUCAUUUAGAUUUCAUCUUCUGACUCAUUAAGUGUUGGAAAUUAUGUUCAUUAUUGUGCAAUCUUAGUGAAGUAUUAGGCCUCGGUUGAAUCCCAAUAAAUGAAUACAUGUUUGAGUGUUUAUUUUUUGCUCACUCUGGCUAAUAUCUUAGAUUACUUAGAACGACAUUCUAGGUUUGAAGUCAUCUUUAACAUAGCAAGUAUGCCUAUAGGAGUAUACUGUUAACAACUUUUUUAUUUUGUGAUUCUUAUUUGACUAUGCCUGUUAGAAACGGUGAAGUUAUAUGUGUUGUUAGAUGUAAAAUGAUUAUAAGGUGCCUUCAGAUCCUUGGAACCUCUUAAAAAAAUUGCUGGGGUUCCAUGAUUAUAUGUGAUGAUAAUGUUCUAUAUGCCUAUGAUAGUGAUUAGCUUACUGAAAACACUUCAAACCUAAAGCAUGUUUUCGUAUUCUGAUUGUUUAUGCAAUUUUACCUAAAUGAGUGCUUCAAUUUCAAAUUAGUUUAUGUUGAGAAGUCUAGUGUUAUUCUGAAACUAUUUGCGUCUUUAACCAUGAUUAGUUUUGUUGAGAAAACUUGGAUCCUAAAGCAUGUUUCGCAUGCUGCUAUCUAUCUCAUAUUGCAUAGAGUGCUUCUGUUAUAAAAUGAUGUUUUGAUGAUAUGAUCUGGUGCAUUGCUUUGAGUUGGAUGUGUUUCACUUAACUAAGUUUUUUGAAUGAUUUGAGGCACUGUCCUAGACAUUCUGUGUUUAAAAGUUUCCUUUGUGAGAACAUGUUGAAUUUAUUUGGCCAGAUUAUUGGUUGAAGUUCUAAGUCAAUAUUUGUGUUCAAAUCUUUUUGGAGGAACAAAGUUUAGUGAUUAAUGGCCUUUAUUGUGGACCUAAUUUCAUUGCCAAGGAAUCCCUCUCUGGCACAAGCACUGUUCCGGUCCCUAGAAACCUUUGUGAACUCUAAAAUGCCAGGGGUGAAAGGGCAACCUUGUAUGGGGAAUGUGGUUCACUCUAUCCGGUGUCUAUUGACUUUAACAAAUCCCUAGAGGGUAAUUACAAAUACAAUAUGGCUUACUUCA